rnacentral:rRNA from 3 species
UGGUUCGCCGCCUGCGAUGCUGCGAGAAGUCCAUUGAACCUUAUCAUUUAGAGGAAGGAGAAGUCGUAACAAGGUUUCCGUAGGUGAACCUGCGGAAGGAUCAUUG